rnacentral:rRNA from 1 species
CCUGGCUCAGGAUGAACGCUAGCUACAGGCUUAACACAUGCAAGUCGAGGGGCAGCAUGGUCUUAGCUUGCUAAGACUGAUGGCGACCGGCGCACGGGUGAGUAACACGUAUCCAACCUGCCGUCUACUCUUGGACAGCCUUCUGAAAGGAAGAUUAAUACAAGAUGGCAUCAUGAGUCCGCAUGUUCACAUGAUUAAAGGUAUUCCGGUAGACGAUGGGGAUGCGUUCCAUUAGAUAGUAGGCGGGGUAACGGCCCACCUAGUCUUCGAUGGAUAGGGGUUCUGAGAGGAAGGUCCCCCACAUUGGAACUGAGACACGGUCCAAACUCCUACGGGAGGCAGCAGUGAGGAAUAUUGGUCAAUGGGCGAGAGCCUGAACCAGCCAAGUAGCGUGAAGGAUGACUGCCCUAUGGGUUGUAAACUUCUUUUAUAAAGGAAUAAAGUCGGGUAUGGAUACCCGUUUGCAUGUACUUUAUGAAUAAGGAUCGGCUAACUCCGUGCCAGCAGCCGCGGUAAUACGGAGGAUCCGAGCGCUAUCCGGAUUUAUUGGGUUUAAAGGGAGCGUAGAUGGAUGUUUAAGUCAGUUGUGAAAGUUUGCGGCUCAACCGUAAAAUUGCAGUUGAUACUGGAUAUCUUGAGUGCAGUUGAGGCAGGCGGAAUUCGUGGUGUAGCGGUGAAAUGCUUAGAUAUCACGAAGAACUCCGAUUGCGAAGGCAGCCUGCUAAGCUGCAACUGACAUUGAGGCUCGAAAGUGUGGGUAUCAAACAGGAUUAGAUACCCUGGUAGUCCACACGGUAAACGAUGAAUACUCGCUGUUUGCGAUAUACUGCAAGCGGCCAAGCGAAAGCGUUAAGUAUUCCACCUGGGGAGUACGCCGGCAACGGUGAAACUCAAAGGAAUUGACGGGGGCCCGCACAAGCGGAGGAACAUGUGGUUUAAUUCGAUGAUACGCGAGGAACCUUACCCGGGCUUAAAUUGCAGAUGAAUUACGGUGAAAGCCGUAAGCCGCAAGGCAUCUGUGAAGGUGCUGCAUGGUUGUCGUCAGCUCGUGCCGUGAGGUGUCGGCUUAAGUGCCAUAACGAGCGCAACCCUUGUUGUCAGUUACUAACAGGUUCCGCUGAGGACUCUGACAAGACUGCCAUCGUAAGAUGUGAGGAAGGUGGGGAUGACGUCAAAUCAGCACGGCCCUUACGUCCGGGGCUACACACGUGUUACAAUGGGGGGUACAGAGGGCCGCUACCACGCGAGUGGAUGCCAAUCCCCAAAACCUCUCUCAGUUCGGACUGGAGUCUGCAACCCGACUCCACGAAGCUGGAUUCGCUAGUAAUCGCGCAUCAGCCACGGCGCGGUGAAUACGUUCCCGGGCCUUGUACACACCGCC